UGCCGUCAGCGAAUUGGCGUUGACGAAGGACCAAUCGGGGUCGACAGA
ncrna:unclassified sequences gut-2 RNA